rnacentral:rRNA from 1 species
UGCAGUCGAGCGGCAGCACAGAGGAACUUGUUCCUUGGGUGGCGAGCGGCGGACGGGUGAGUAAUGCCUGGGAAAUUGCCCUGAUGUGGGGGAUAACCAUUGGAAACGAUGGCUAAUACCGCAUGAUGCCUACGGGCCAAAGAGGGGGACCUUCGGGCCUCUCGCGUCAGGAUAUGCCCAGGUGGGAUUAGCUAGUUGGUGAGGUAAUGGCUCACCAAGGCGACGAUCCCUAGCUGGUCUGAGAGGAUGAUCAGCCACACUGGAACUGAGACACGGUCCAGACUCCUACGGGAGGCAGCAGUGGGGAAUAUUGCACAAUGGGCGCAAGCCUGAUGCAGCCAUGCCGCGUGUAUGAAGAAGGCCUUCGGGUUGUAAAGUACUUUCAGUCGUGAGGAAGGUUGUAGUGUGAAUAGCACUAUGAUUUGACGUUAGCGACAGAAGAAGCACCGGCUAACUCCGUGCCAGCAGCCGCGGUAAUACGGAGGGUGCGAGCGUUAAUCGGAAUUACUGGGCGUAAAGCGCAUGCAGGUGGUUUGUUAAGUCAGAUGUGAAAGCCCUGGGCUCAACCUAGGAGUUGCAU